CAUGUACCAGUGGGGUCCCUCGGCCUGGCCUGUGCCCUCUCGCAAUCCAGGACCCCUUGGGGAAUGUCAGAGAGCUGGUUUCAGCCUGAUCCCGCAGGUCAGGCUGAGGGACCCCACUGGUGCACG
rnacentral:pre_miRNA from 1 species